UAUUUAAAGGCUUUCAUGCCAAAUGUCCUGCGGUGUGACUGUAACAUAAAUGAGACAUAAAAUAUAAACUAUAAAAUAAACCAGCAACAAUUGGAAUAAUUUAUAAGAGCUUUGGCAUUAUUUUACAAAUAUUAACUUAAUAAAAAAAAGGUUUUUACAUACAAAAACAAUAUACAGGAAUAUUUACAAGCAAAAUUUUGUACCAUAAAUGCCGUCCUGAGGCGUGACGUGGAAAUCACGUGGUGUGACAUCGCUUUAAAUGCAACUAAAUGCCUUAAUUAAGUUCAUUCAAUUUUUAUCAUGAUGUAGCUUUUAAAGCACUGCAUAAUUUAACUAUCACAAAAAAAUAAACUGCAGUAAGACUCUCAUUUUACAAAAUAUUUCUAUGCGAGUGAGUGAGAAAAGAAGGUGCAAGUAAGGAGUGGAACUGAAAAACAGUAAAAGGCUUCUUAAACUUUAACAUAUGUGAUUUGCAGUUGAAAUCAGUAAUAUCUGUAUAUUUUCUCUUUACUGUAGUGUGGUGUCACACCGCAGGACAUUUUACCUCUGUCGCUGAGAAAAAGGCUUAGAAAAUAGCAUAAAGAAAGGGAAAUUCUAUAAAACAGCAACAGUGACACCAACUUCAGCCUUUGAACAUUAUAAUUUCAUAUAUUUUGUUUGAAAAAUAUAUAUUUUGUUUGUCACAUAGAAAAAAAACCUACUGUUUCACCUCUAUUUCUGAAGUGCCCUAAUUCAUUUCCAGCCAUUGUGGAAACUGAUAAACUGAUCUCUGGGAUGCCAUCAGGACCCGCAGCCUUGCGGAUGUUUACCCGUCAGAAGGAUCGGGUUACAUCAGAGACGGAGAACGCACUCACAUAUUAACAGUAGCUGGUUUGUUCCCUUUAAAGUCUGUGAUGUUGUUGAUGACCUGCCACAUGCUUCUUGCAUCGUUGGUGUUGAAAUGUUCUUCAACUUUAUUUUUAUAUUGUCUUUUUGCGGCUUUGAUGGUUUUUUGAUGGUUAGCAUGUUAGCUUGUUAGCAUUAAGUUUGAUCAAAACUAAUAACUAUUCAGCAUAGGCUCUGAUUUGGCCACGUGUUGUACUUGACUAUCAGCCUAGUUGCGAUUUAAUAGUCUGAUAUUUUUUUUAGAUUUUAGAUUUUUUUAGAUUUAGAGUUUUUAAAAGAUCAGAUUAUUGGUUUAAAUUCUCCGUAAUCUGAUUUAUUGAUCACUGAAGCACAAAGAAUAAACAAUACAGUGAUUUUAAAUUUAAAAAAGUUGCAGUGCAUAUCAUUUAAAAACAGUCGAAAGUAGAAAUUAUAGUGCUGAUUGUUAAAUGACAUUCAUUGAUUACAUAUUAAAUAAUAAUAAUGUUUGUAACUUGAUGGGCAAAAAGGGUUAGAAGAAUAUAAUGUCUUCAGUCAGACAAAAUGCAUACUCCCAUUGUCUAUAGCGCUCAGUCCGCUAACUCCGGAUACGGCCAGCAGGCCGCUUCCUCAGUCUGCUAACUCAGGAUACGGCCAGCAGUAUUAAAAAGUUGUAAGUGCAGAAGUGACUGUGAAACCUUUAAAUUAGUCUCAGCGUAAGCAGUUAUGUGCUAUAAUAAGCUUAAUUCAGUGUUGUUGUUGUUUGAAUUAAAGAUCAGAUGAUCUCACUACAGAUACAUGUUUAUGGUAAACAACACGAACUCCAAGGAGCAAUUAAAAAAAGUCAAAGUCCUGGAAAAGCAUGAAAUGAGGUUGGAUUAUUAAACAAUUGUACAUUUUACACACACAAAUAAAAAAUAAAAUCUAUUAUUAUAAACAUAAAAUACGGUUAAAAAAAGAUUAAAAGAACAGGGGUCUUCUGGAAACACUGAAGGUCACAAACUCAGUGGCACAAGUGUUUUUGGGCCUCACAAUGUUGGGUGAUAACAUCGGCCACAUAGCGAUGGAGGUAAAGUGUGGCAGCAGUGUCGCAAUCAUCGGCCUGGCUGUUGUGGCUGUUAUCCUUGAGGUCCUGUUGCUCCUUUUCUUUGGCUACAUCUAUGAGUAUUGCAGCAUUAUUGUUUUUUAAGCCAUAAAGGAGAAUAUAUAGAAACCUACAAGCUUUCCAGAUAUGUUCUGUCUGUUAAUGUUUUAUAGCGAAGGAGGUAUUUAAGAAUUUUUUUUAAAGGUAUUUAAAACUCCAAAAUUCCGAUCACUUAUAAAAGUCAUAGCACAGCUCUCCUCAAUGAGCCGGUCGAUUUGACACCUCAUUCAUGGGUCUAGGAGAAAAGCUGCGGGACAAGUUACAGCACAAUAACAAGAAUGUUGCUUUGCAAGCACCAUUAAUAAUGUGGCGUAGAACAGAAUGAUGGACUGAGGCCGUAAUUCUACGGCGUGUUUCGGAUUGGUCACAAGGAUCUUAGCCAAGUGUGUAGGAGGAGCAGGAGGAAGAGGGAUAAUGAACAAUAACACACAUUUGAUUUGUGCUUAUAGAUAGAGCAGCCGCUAGGUGGGUGUUAGACAUUCUCUCACAAUUCACCAUGGCAUGCACGCACAAAAUGAACAACUGCUGAACAUGAAAACACUGGAGGUCACAACCUUGAUGGCACAAGUGUUGUUGGGCCUCACAAUGUUGGGGGAUAACAUCAGCCACAUAGCGAAGGAGGCGAAGUGCAGCGGAAGCGCUACAGUCAUCGACGUGGCAACGGUGGCUAUUGUUCUGGAGUCCAUGUUGCUCCUUUUCCUUGGCUUUAUCUCUGAUGGACAUGAACACAAUUGAGGCCACAUCCUCCCUGGCACAAGUGUUGUUGGGCCUCACAAUGUUGGGUGAUAACAUCGGCCACAUAGCGAGGGAUGUAAAGUGUGGCGACAGCGUGGCAAUCAUUGGCCUGGCUGUUGUGGCAGUUAUUCUGGAGGUCCUCUUGCUGUUUUUCCUUGGCUUCAUGUUGUGGAAAACAACAAGAAGCCAAAGGAGGACUACAAUUAUCAACAGGCCUUCUUGGGCUGCAUCACCAUCCACAUGGUGUUGAGGAUGGUGAUCAUCGCCCUGAUCUGCUUUAAUCACCGUGUCUGAAGUUCCAGUUCCUCCCAAAGUCCAGGAGAACCUUCAGGACAAUGCAGCCUGUAGGGAACUUGUUUCUGUCGGUGAGCCUAAGACCCAUCAGAAGGCCAACAGCAUCACAGGUAAAUACGGAAUGUGGUUCCAGGACCCAGAGUCUCCAGGAGCUCCGUAUGGGCCAGACACGGUGUGGUGCAUCGACACUGUGAGCAGUGAAGUACGAGAACUGUACGCCUAUGAAAACCUGGAGCAGCUCGCCCGUGACUACCCCACCAAGGUCCUGCUUUUACCAGAGUCGAUGGGGAGCACCGGGGCCACCGUAUACCACGGAUUGCUUUACUACCGACGCAGACAGAGCCCCACGUUGCUGGGUUAUGACGUUGCUGCUGAGAACAUCGUGGCCUGGAGAGAGCUGCCACACCAAGGAUUUCAUGGCCAGUAUCCUUAUUCCUGGGGUGGCUACACCGACAUCGACCUGGCUGUGGGUGACAAGGGACUGUGGGCCAUUUACAGCACAGAAAAGGCUCGUGGAGGCUCAUCAUUAUCUCACAGCUGGAUCCUGAAAACAUGAGAGUGAUCAGAAGCUGGGAGACCAACAUCCAGAAGAACAAAGUGCCAAACGCUUUCAUGGUGUGUGGCAGACUGUACACUGUACAACCCAACUUUUAUAACAUCGUGUAACUUAGCGCCAUCUUCUGGCAAAUAGAUUCAACUGCAAAUACAGUGAUAACGUAAGUGCUUCCAAAACUACUUCUGGUCCCUCCUUCAUUCCGCCAUCAUUAUCCUUCAUGAAAAUGAUCCAGUAUCUUUACGAAAGUAGUGGUGUGUUCUCUAAAUGAAAAAUGGGUGAAUAUAGAAAGAGGUAGAUUUUGGAUAAAGGAAUCCCACAGGGGACUUCACAUGGAAGUGUAUUUUGUUGGAAUAUGUGAUGUUAACAACCUGUAUAAGUUCUUUAAAUGCACCUCUGUAUCUAAAUAAAUAAACCAGUAAAUUUAAAAUAAAGAAAAU